ACCCAGGUGGCGAAAUUGGUAGACGCACCAGCUUGAGGGGCUGGCGCCCGUAUGGGUGUGGGAGUUCGAAUCUCCUCUUGGGUACAA
rnacentral:tRNA from 2 species